ensembl:lncRNA
AACAGCUUCACAUUUUUCUUGUGCUGGGGGCCCCAGGCCUGGAUGCAAUACACCAAAUGGGGCCUCACAAGGGCAAAGUAGAGGGAGACAAUCACUUUCUUCCCUCUACUGGACACCUCUCUUUUGAUGCAGCCCAUGAUACAGCUGUCCCUCCAGGCUGCAAGAGCACAGUUAGCUUAUGUCGUCUGGCAUUCAUCCACCAGAACUCUCAAGUCCUUCUCCACAGCGCUGCUCUCAGGGUGUUCUCGCAGUUUGUACACAUACCUGUGAUUACCCCAACCCAGGUGGAACACCUUGCACUUGGCUUUGUUGAACCUCAUUAGGUUCACGUGGGCCCACUACCUUGUUUCUUUUCCCUGCUACUAGUAGGAAGUGCACUAGCAAAACCUGUGGGAAAGCCAAAGACAUCAUUACUUUUCUUUCUAGUUGCCUCUUCACGCUAUUACUUACUGCUAGAUUCACUAAUUUCUUGGGCAUGUUCAAGUCAAGAAAAAGUUAUCCAGAAACGAGACAAAAAAAAAAAAAAAAGAGUUAUUUAGAGUUGUGGAAUAAUAUAUAGCUGAAAGAUAAAAAAUACAAAUCAAAGUCUAAGACCCUAAUCAUUUACUACUUGUAAAAGAAAGGAAUACAGUCCUGCCAUGAAGACAAGUCGUUGCUCCAUUCUCCUUGGAGCAACAGGAAUUAGGAAACAGACAAGCUAAACAGGGCUGCCACCUCCCUAUCAAAACCUGUCAAGCCAAAAUACUAUUACUUUUGGGAUGUCAGUGUCUUACAAAACUACUUAGCAUUAAUUGACAACUUCUCCUGCAGCAUAAGAGAUUUAAUUGCAAAGUUAGCACAACCCAUAGUUUGAAGCAGCAGAGCCCGCGUCAAACGUGGCAGCUUUAAAAAUUAUUUAGCCUUGGUGAAGGCAAAAUUCAGAGGACAAAAAGUUCUUCUUGUCAGGGAUGACUAUACACAAGCUUGAUUGAAAGGCUGUCUUGGUCUCUGUUGUCACCAAUAAACAUGACCCACAUUUUGCCACUGCUGUGUUGGGAAAUAUAUUGAGGAUACUGCAGAGAAGGUGCUUUUGGUUAUGACUAACAAUUUGUAAGGACGUUCAAGUACUGCAUUAAAUCUCACAUGUUAAAAUAGUUUCUGCUUCAAAAUACAGGACAAAGUUUGCUGAUGGAACAGAGAAAAAAGACAACAGAUUUUUGGCAUAUGUGAUUAGAUGCUUGUCAGCGAGACUGUUCUCUGAGAUAUUCAUAGUCUGGUUGAAACCUUGCUGUUGCCUCCAUAGCGUGAAGCUGCAAUUGUAUUGAUAUCUCUUUCACUAUAAAGAUGUUUCACUG